rnacentral:tRNA from 1 species
AGGGCUUUAGCUUAAUAAAAGCAUCUGAUUUGCAGUCAGGAGAUGUGGGUUAGUAUCCUGCAGGCCCUA